AGCAGUGAGGAAUAUUGGUCAAUAGCCUAACCGGCUGAACCAGCAACUUGGAGGAAUGAAUAGGGAAAACUGGUAAAAUGUGAUGUACCUAAUAGUAUUAGUGAUUAAUAUGAAGUUAACUAAGUUAAUUAAAAUUCAAGUAGAUAUUUGAUUAUGACAUUAUUUACUUAUGUCUUGACCAAGUCACGUGCCAGCAGUCGCGGUAAUACGUGGUAGAUUAGUGUUAUUCAUCUUAAAUAGGUUUAAAGGGUACCUAGACGGUUAAUUAAGCAUAAUUGUGUACUAAUUAUUAACUAGAGUUUAAUGUAAGAAGGAUUGAGUACGGUGAGUGUAGAGAUAAAAUUCUGUCAUACCACUUAGGAACUGGUAAAGGCGAAGGCAACCUUUUAUGUAAAAACUGACGUUGAAGGACGAAGG
rnacentral:rRNA from 1 species